rnacentral:misc_RNA from 1 species
AGUUUUGCCUUCACUGCUGCUGCUGAAAGUGCAGAAACUGCAGCACGCUUAAAUCUAUCGAUGCUAUUGUCAUCUUUAAUCUCCUUACAAUCAGGCUUCUCUUUUUUGCUGUCCUUUUGGUCCUCAGCUGUAGUUGUUCCAUUUCCAACCACUGAAUUUGGUGCAACUGGCUGCUGAGACUCUUUUGCUUCUGAAGGCAGAUCAGACGACAUGUCUAUAUCCUUUGGAGCAUCUGUGGGCUGAGAGUGAUCUCCCACUGAAUUUGUUUUCACUAGUUGCACAUUCUUACCUGCAGGCAGAGAAUCUGAGAUCAUUUUUACAUUCUUUGAUGUCUCUGCAGCUUGAGAGGGCUCUUCAACCAACAUUGGUGCAGCUGAUUGACAAGGCUCAUUAUUUUCAAAUGGUUUCGAAUCAGACACCAUAUCUAUAUCCUUGGAAACUUCCAUUUGCUGAGAGUUUGCAGCUGCUGAAGAUCCUUCUGUCUCCUGAAAAGAACUUGGGGGACACUCAGACAUGGAUUGCAUCGCAUUUGAUUCGUUUAAACUACUUAUCUGGGGGUCCUUUUGAAACUCUGAUUCACUAGAUUCCUUCAAUUUACCACUUUCAUCUUCCUCAUGAGAAAUUGCAGUGCCUGCUUCAUUUGCAGUAUUUACCUUCUCAGUGGGUUCAUCAUUCAAAGAAUCCGGAGGCUGCUUUUCCUCUGGAGCAGAAUCUUCAGUUUUCUUGUUAUUGUGGUUAAUUGAUAAGUCUCUUCCAACCAAAUCUUUCUGGGUUUGGCCUUCAUGGUUGUAUUGUUGAGCCUCUUGAUUAGCUGUUUCUAUGGCACUGCAAUCAGGACCAGCUGGUCCCUUCAGGUCAUCUGGUGGAUCUUCCAAAAGAAAGCAGUGCCUUGCUGCCAGCUGCAUACCAGGAGAAUCACUAUUUAAGGAUUUCAAAGAGCAGCGAGCUGAAGUCAUAGCCACAUCACUUCCUACCAAUCUUGCCAAAAACACUGCCAAAGCCAUGACAGGAUUUCCAAUUUCAGCAAAUGAGAGCCGAUUUUCAGAAGAACAAGGAUAACCAACAGCUUCAAAUGCUUCAAUAAGCGCUUUAAGUGCCAAAUUUUCACUGGUAUGCUGAGCAGCCUUCACUUCACUAGUAUCUUCUGAUUUUGAAGAUUUGUCAUCAAUUAUUGCUUCACUGGCAUUGUUAGGCUUUGCAGUUUCCUGACAGCCUUUUACUUCAACCACAUCUUCUGGUUUUGAAGCUUCUAGUUCAGAAGUCAGGGGCAUAUCCUCCUUAGAACCAGUUUUAUCCUCACUUGUUUCAGUCCCAUCCUUAGGAACAGAUGUAUCAUCAUUGUUUGCAGGUUGAUCUGUAGUUUCUUUACUCCCAUCUACAUCAUCAUCAUCACAGUCAAAAAAGACAUCCUCAAUUGGCAUUUGAACAAAGUGCAAUAUACAUUGAGCUUUAGUUUUUGUGGCAACAUGCUCUGCAAUCUCAUUCCAGUUUUCUUUAUAAAGUUCCAAUGCUUCAAG